GGAUGCGAUCAUACCAGCACUAAAGCACCGGAUCCCAUCAGAACUCCGAAGUUAAGCGUGCUUGGGCGAGAGUAGAACUAGCAUGGUUGACCUCCUGGGAAGUCCUCGUGUUGCAUUCC
rnacentral:rRNA from 2 species